ensembl:lncRNA
ACAUCUCUGGGCUUGCAAGAAACAGAAGCACAGUGCUGUGCUUGGCUCCUACUACCAAAAAAAACCACCUAUAUGGAUUUCAGCUUCCAGGUUUUUGUCUUGCUUGGUCAAGGGACAUUGCUCCUAAAUUCCAUCCUCAUGAAUAACGCAGAAAAGGUUAUGAGAGUUAAACAAAGCACCACUCCUUCCAAGAGCUCCAAAUGCCAGCAUGGCUGGAAGAAGCUGAUGGAGGGAGGAGGAUGGAAGGGGCAGAGGAGGGGGAAGUUUUCAGCCAGAACCCAGGAGCCAGAGUUGUUCCUCAGGAGCUCAGGUACAGGAAGGAAUGAGACACAACUCUGCUGCACAAAUAACCAGUGGUGAAUGUGAAGGUGGAUCUCUGCAGAUCACUCUGAGCUUCGAGGGAAGGAUUGUAGACAUGCUGAAGCUGCUGCUGCCCACAGCUACAUCAUCACCUGCUCUUCCCAGACAGGCUCCCCUGUGGGGACAGCUCAGCCUGUCCAUCAACAUCCCAAGGGUCCAGGCAAAGGCAGCACCUUUUUCUCGCAGAAACCAGGACACAGACGGGCUGUUAAAGUGACCUGCCAUCUUCCUUAUUCAUACAUUCAUUCAUGAGGAUUUGUCAUAUGAAUGAUGACAAAUCCUGUCACUGGCGGAGGGUCUUACUUGUCAUACCAAUUGCACCUGCUUCAUUUGGGGAUUAUUGUCCAAAGACACAGGUGUUUCUAGAAGCCAUGAAGGGCCCAGUUAAGCCCCUUUUCUCAUCUUUUCUUUCUGCAGCAGAAUUGCUUAUGUUGUGGAACACACUCACAGUCCAUCUGAGAGCAGGUGCUGCAAAUCCAACAUGUAGGUGCUGUUAAUCCUACAGGAAUUAUUUUAGGAAAUGGAGAGGGAAGGGAGGUGCAUAUAGGUAUAGGAAACAAAACAAAAAAAUCUUCAUAAAACUGUAGCACAUUUCUGAGGCAUCCAGGGCCACCCAGCACCAUAAGCAAUCAGUAACUGGAAAGAGAUCUAUUUAGUAAUAAUGAGAGUUGCACUCCGCAUCAUAUGUUCAAAGGGAUGUGAGGUUUCUAGUCCUUACAAAUUCAGCAAUAGUCCCAUAUCUGAUGCUCCACAGAAAGCCUUGAUAACCCUUUGCAAGACCAGUCAGCACCUUUGAAGUCAACGUUGCCACAGUAAUAGUUCUGAAGAUCUGUGCUUGCUCUUGCCUUGCUGGAAGACCAUCUCAGGUCCUUUGAACUAACAGCACAUCCUGGGUUUACAGCACCUGACACGUCUGCUGCCAAGCUUCUUUGCCUCUUCCUUACUGCUUUUCCAGAGCAAAGUCUCUUAUAACUUCAUUUUUUAUGGCUUUCAAUAGAAAAGAAAACCAAAAGAAUCCUGGUUCCAUAAUAAACUCAAUGUCUAAUUUUGCAGGAAUGUUGCACAAAUAGCCCUGCUGGGAUUGAAGCAGUAACCUUUUGCUGGAUACUCGUGUUUGUACAUCCUCUCAGUUUAAUUCAUUUUCCUCAAUGAGAAUGAAAACACUUCCUGAAAACACACUUGCAUAGAAACUAGUGGGAAAGAGUCUAGAUUAAACAUCAAGAAAGAUGUUAAAUUAGUCAGAAAAUGGACUGUGGGCUGCUUUUUUUUUUUUUAUUUAAGUCAAUAUUUCAUUGUUAUAUUGUGAGGAUUAAAUAAUGUUCAAACAAGGUUUGUCACAAGUCUGGCACAGGGUAGGCAAAGGCAGUGGUCCAAAGCUAUUAUGAAAGCCAUAGCUGGCAUUUAACAUUAUGUAUCACCUGUGAAAACAAGAAACCUCACAGCACACUCUGAUCUAAUCAUGAUACAUUUGACAUUGGAAUGCCAGAAAGUUCUUUGCCAGUUGCUCAGUGGCACGAUGGAGUACCCGAAUGGCAGAGUGACCCCUGCCCAGGCCUGGCCUGGGACUCAGCCUUGAGGCUGGGGGGUGAACCAGGCUGUGCUCACCUGCCUGUGCCAGGAUCUGCUAAGCUGUAUGAGAUUGCACACCAGGCCAAACUUAGCCUUUGUUGUUUUGAGCAUUUUGGGCACAUUGCAAAGUGACCUGCUCCAUGCUGGGUGCUCCAACAGAUCCCACUGUGCCUUGGCAGUGCUCACCCCUCCCAUACUGCCCCAGUAGCCUGAAUGGAAAACCUAGUGCAGAACUGAGCUUCCAGGCCACAUCACAGCCAGUUCUUAGCAGGGGCAGAAUAAAGCAGUUAUAGAGAAAGUGGCUGUAGCCAGGGACAUGGGAGCAGCUCACAAUGCAGUGAGCAAUCUCUACACUUUUUAAUCUGAAUAUCCAUAUCAUUAUGACAUCUAAUAAAGACGGGAAACCAAUAGUAAUUUAUCGAAAUGUUAAAGCCUUUUGAGUUAACUAAUUCUCCAGCCUGUCAAGCAUAAGUCCAUGUAGCCAAGAUUCACUACUCUUUUAGUGCCCAAACUAAGAUAAAUUAUCAUCUUGUCCACAAGCCAUCUUGUACCAUUUCCUACAGGAAGACAAGGCUUGAAUUGAAAUUGAUUCUGAAAACCCCUGAGGUAUGGUCAGAAAUCAAAUAGAUGCCAGUAAAAAACACUUAAGAGGGAAAUGUCAGAUGCAAAAGUUACCAAUAAACAAGCCCAACCUGUGGCCCUCAUGAAGAGUGACCUGCCAGGCAGUGCAGAAUGUACAGAAAGGGACCCACAGUCUUCAGAGAUCCAGCAACUGAUUGAAUGUUUGGUAUUGUCUGCCCACAACAAAAGAGAAGGCAAAUGCCAUCCUCGGACACACACCUGUGAGUGUGUUUCAUGUAAAACACAGAAGAAUUUAUUGUGGUCUAAUUGGCACCAGUGCAUUCUCUGCAUAGUCUGGUGUCCAGUUCACAGCAUCAUGUGUUAAGGAAAAUGGAUGGUCAAGGUUCAAAGAUUUGCAUAUGAAAGCCCAAAAGUUUAGGAGAUGCAAUCCUAGCCAAAAGGCUGAUGAAUUGUGUGGGCAUUUUCUGUGUGGAAAUGGGAAGAUGAGGAAAACUUAAAACUAGCAGAAGCCUGACUUCUUUCUACCCAUUAUAAACUGGUGAUGUGAAAUGUGAUGUCUUCCACUCUCUGCUUUUGUUUGGUAAGGUUUGGUACAGCAGGACUGUGCAAAUUAAGACCACCUGUUAGAGCAUUGUCAGAUCUUUUAUCUAUCUGAGCCAGAGCUUCCUCAGACCAGAAUCCUACAAGACUCCUGUCAGGAUCCAGUUGUUUGGCCAGUAUUCAUCACAACCAACUGCUUUUGAACAUACCCAGUUGUCUGGGAUAUUGCAUGGUUUAGCCCUGAAGUGCUGCAAUGAAGCUGAGAUGAGCUGUGGGACACAGCCCCAGUCUGAGGAGUGACUGCUGGCCCUUGGAGACAUGGCCUGGGCACCCAGUGUUGGAGGCAUUUCCAACAUGGGCAUCUUCAGUGUGCACCUGCCAGGGCGGCCAGGUAUGACACAGGACCUACACAAGACCUGCAUCUUCCUGGACCAGCAGCUGGACUCAGGUGAGUCCAGGAGAAAAUGGCCAAAAUCCAUUUUGUGUCCAAACAUCUGAACUGUGUGUGCUGUGAAGCAGAGGAAAAAGAGUUGGAGCAGCAGAGUGCUUAUUAAAGCACAUAUAACAGGAGUACCCAGUGCAUGGAUAAAGAAUUACAUCGUGCUGCAGUGACAGCGCUGUGCAGGGUCUGGGGUUUCUGUCUGUCCUCCAAAAGAGACUACCAACUGAAGCCUGGGGCAUCCACAAGCCCACCUUGCUGAAGGACCAAGAGCAGUGUAGUGCUCAGCAGGGCUGGCAGCAGGGCACACAAAGGAAGGCCAAGGAAGGCAGCAGAACAAGGGGAAUGGCUGGGACAGGGUCUAUUUCCCCCCACAGGGUACUGCAGCCGCUUGUCCCUGCAGGCACUGCCCCCCAUCCCCUGGUGGAGCUUUCAUCACCAAACCCACAGCUCACCCAGGGUGUGGAGCUGGCACGGACCCCACUGACCCCAGAUCCUGUUUCUGGGCUGCGCUGACCAAGAGGGCAAUCAUGCACACUUCCUUCCACAUUUAUGCAAAAAGCAUCCACCCCACACGUAUUUCCACUGUAUUUGAGACCUUGUGAAAUCUUGGCAGAAGUGGAUGGAUUUUGCCCAGAAUACACAAUUUAGUGCUAAUUAUCUCUUCCUGCUGGGCUUUAGAGCACAGAGCUUUCAGUUCAAGAACAACAGCUACAAGAGCUAAUGGAUUGCUCUGUUACCAGGAAGCAAACCCUUUGCAGAGCAUGGAGGAUCCUGCCCUGCUGCAGGUCCCGGGGAAACUCUGCAACAAUAGGAGGAUGGAAUUCAUUAACUCUUCAGGGAAGGAGAGCACAUCACCAGCAUCGUAAUUGCCUUCCGCUGCUACUGCUGGGGAGAACAUCCCAGCACAAAAGAGCAUCUCACGCCUCCCAAGGCAUAGCAAAUUAUGUUGUAAAUGUAGAAAAAGAAAAUCCCUCUUGUUGGGUCAGUGAGAAGCUGCAGAAGAGAAAAGGAUGAACUGUGGCUGUGAUUCAUUCCCUUCCAUGUCACAUACAGUAGAAGCCCAUAUUUUCUGCGAGUAUACAGGAUAUGGAUUAAAUUGUUGCUUUCCAAGCCCCACUUCCCAUGUGCACUUAUGUCACAUCUAGGAUGGCCUGUGGGCCUCUCUCAUUGGGCUCCACUGACAAACCUCUUUUGGUGAUACUCCCUGAGACAAGGAAGAAACUUGCUCCACUCUGCUGGCAAUUAAGCAGCAGGUAAUGAAUUAAUAGCAUAUAGGAGUCACACUGGGAGCCAAUAAUAAUUUAAUUCUCCUGCACUGGCAGUUAACCAGCCAGCAGUAACCAUCCCAGAGCUGCUCUCCACACAGCUGAUUUCAGAGCUUUACAGACCUACAUAUGGUGAUCAUUUUGGUGAUUCCAAUGCUGACAUGUAGCCUGAAGGAGAGUCCAAAGUACCUCCUAGCAUAGCGAGCAUUUUGGCUUGUGGUGACCACAUCUUAGCUUUUAUUUCAAAUGCAGUCUUUUUGGUGUGGAUACUCACCUUCUCAAAUAUCCUUACAAGUGUAAGAAAUAAAAUACUGAAAUAUAGAGCAGAUGCUUCAGUACCUUGGACUAGAUCCACUAUUGACACAGAACCAACAUUACGCCCUUCUCAAAGACACUUUCUCACUUGCUCAUAUGGUGCACAGAUGUAGGCUGCUGGCAGUGAUCUCUAAAGCAAUGUGGGCAACUUCCAGAUUUUCAGGUACCCUUUGUCUCCAUUUCUUGUGUAAGAUUCUGGACAGUUUAUUCUCAUUUGGGUCUUUGUAGUUAUAAGGCUAAAAUAUCCUUAUUAUUGCUGCAUUUUUGUUUCCUCUAGGAAACAGGGUGAGGGAAACACUGCUUGAUGAAUGGAACAGCACCCAGGAGGUGAGGAGUGGUGGAAUUGCCACAGAUUACCAAGAUAAUCCUGUGACCUGCCUGCCCAACACACAGAGGUUUUAGUGGCAGCUCUUCAGAGAGCAUGCCACUACUAGUGGAAUAGUUUUUCACAGCUUGGAAUCAUGAUCACCACCACCAAAAAGUAAAAGGCUAUGAGACUAAAAGGAGUGAGAAAAUUCUUCCUGAGUGAGCUGAGGAAACAGUUGUACCAAGCCUGACACCCCUUUGCUGGGACAGUUGUAAGAAGCAUCCUCCAUCAUGUCCAGACAGAGUUUCCUGUCUCGAGAACAAAUUGUCCAGCACUAGUUCUCUGGGAAACACCAGGGAAAAAAGUGAAACACCAAAUUGAUUCCAAGGAUGAUUUUCUUCCAUGAAAUGAAGAUAAAUAAUUCUGCUGCUUUAUGACUGGUGGUUUUACUGUGAGGUAUUGCACAACAGGAAUAAAUAAUGUUCAAGUAUGACUGCAUCCAGUUUUAUCUGCCUUUGUUUUCCUUAGCUCAUUUUGUCUCAGAGAAGGUUGGUUAUCAAGAACAAAAGACUUUUAGGUCUGCAGACUACGUGCACAUGAACCAUUCUCACCUGCCUGCUGUAACAGGCAUGUGGAAUACAUAUUGAACUCAUUCUUCAUAGUGUUUUGUCUCAUAACAUUUGGAAUUUAAGUAAGCUUUGUACCUUAAUAAAUAAAUAUUGAGCUAAUUGCAUUAAUAAACACAA